UCUUUCUUUGCUGGCGACCGGCGCACGGGUGAGUAACACGUAUCCAACCUGCCUUUACUCGGGGAUAGCCUUUCGAAAGAAAGAUUAAUACCCGAUAGCAUAAUGAUUCCGCAUGGUUUCAUUAUUAAAGGAUUCCGGUAAAGGAUGGGGAUGCGUUCCAUUAGGUUGUUGGUGAGGUAACGGCCCACCAAGCCUUCGAUGGAUAGGGGUUCUGAGAGGAAGGUCCCCCACAUUGGAACUGAGACACGGUCCAA
rnacentral:rRNA from 1 species